CGGGGGUUCAACCUAAAGGCAGUCGGAAGCGAGCGGUGCAAGGAUGCACAGUUUGGGUUUCACUGAAUCCAUUGCCGGCGGAGGUAACAAAGCUUAUUAGGUGAUUCCUGGAGGUGAUCAAGCUCCAAGAGGAGAUCAUAAGGGGAGAAUUGGAGGCUUGGGCGGCUUCAGCAGUCGUAGUGCGAAGGCUGGGUCGAAGGGUGGCACUAGAGAUGGUG
rnacentral:lncRNA from 1 species